UAUGGUGUCUAUAGCGAGGGUGUCACACCUGUUCCCAUUCCGAACACAGCAGUUAAGCCCCUCAGCGCUGAUGGUACUGCCUGCGAAAGUUGGUGGGAGAGUAAGACGAUGCCAAGG
rnacentral:rRNA from 2 species